GCAGCGAAGGGGCGACCUGGAGCAAAUCCCCAAAAACCGUCUCAGUUCGGAUUGUACUCUCAACUCGAGUGCAUGAAGUCGGAAUCGCUAGUAAUCGCGUAUCAGCAAUGACGCGGUGAAUACGUUCCCGGACCUUGUACACACCGCCCGUCAAGCCAUGGGAAUUGGGAGGACCUGAAGACGGUUGCCGCAAGGCGCUGUUUAGGGUUAAACCAGUGAC
rnacentral:rRNA from 1 species